UCCNGAUGCACUGCCAAGAGAAGGAAAGC
rnacentral:piRNA from 1 species